GUCUAUGGCUCUGCCACCCUGAACCUACCCAAUCUUGUCUGAUCUUAGAAGCUAAGCAGGGCUGGGCCUGGUUAGUACUUGGAUGGGAGACUACCUUGGAAUACCAACUGCUGUAGGUG
rnacentral:rRNA from 1 species